rnacentral:rRNA from 1 species
AUUGAACGCUGGCGGCAGGCCUAACACAUGCAAGUCGAGCGGAUGAAGGGAGCUUGCUCCUGGAUUCAGCGGCGGACGGGUGGGUAAUGCCUAGGAAUCUGCCUGGUAGUGGGGGAUAACGUCCGGAAACGGGCGCUAAUACCGCAUACGUCCUGAGGGAGAAAGGGGGGGAUCUUCGGACCUCACGCUAUCAGAUGAGCCUAGGUCGGAUUAGCUAGUUGGUGGGGUAAAGGCCUACCAAGGCGACGAUCCGUAACUGGUCUGAGAGGAUGAUCAGUCACACUGGAACUGAGACACGGUCCAGACUCCUACGGGAGGCAGCAGUGGGGAAUAUUGGACAAUGGGCGAAAGCCUGAUCCAGCCAUGCCGCGUGUGUGAAGAAGGUCUUCGGAUUGUAAAGCACUUUAAGUUGGGAGGAAGGGCAGUAAGUUAAUACCUUGCUGUUUUGACGUUACCAACAGAAUAAGCACCGGCUAACUUCGUG